UACAGAGGGUGCAAGCGUUAAUCGGAUUUACUGGGCGUAAAGGACGCGUAGGUGGUUAUUUAAGUGAGAUGUGAAAUCCCCGGGCUCAACCUGGGAACUGCAUCUUAUACUGGGUAACUGGAGUACAUUAGAGGGCAGUGGAAUUUCCGGUGUAGCGGUGAAAUGCGUAGAUAUCGGAAGGAACACCAGUGGCGAAGGCGGCUACCUGGAAUGAUACUGACACUGAGGCGUGAGAGCGUGGGGAGCAAACAGG
rnacentral:rRNA from 1 species